rnacentral:sRNA from 1 species
AGGUGCCUCAUGUCUACGCCGGCUCCGGCUCGCCAUCCGCGCCCAGCCAGCGACUGCUCGCUAGGCGUUGUGAGCC